CGCUUUUGUCGCCAUAUUGGAUUUCGGGAGUGGAAUCGUCAGUGGGGUUCUGGAUCAGCGUUGUAUAGUGAGAGGGACGCUGAAUGAGUAUAGCCAGUAGUGUAUUAACAGGUGUCGAAGUGGGAUUUUAAAAUCCGGCAGUUUGUCUGUUGUUGCAUAUCCGUAACUGAGUAUCGUUCAAGACAUUGAUAUCCUGUGAAAGGUCAGGAUUCUAUCUGGUGUGUUGAUGGACGCCUUGGCUGGAUAUGAGAGUGAUGGAGAUUCAAAGAUGUCCACCGACAAGUUGGCAAACUACGAGAAUGUUGAGAUGGACAUAAGUGAGGUGAGAACAUGCGCAUACUUUUUCCCCUUAUGUAUCGUAAAACUCGUUUUUUUGUUUUACAUUUAUCAUUAUUUAUGUGUCCACACCAGGUACGUGUUACUGGGAAGGCAAUAUUUGGUCGGAUUCUCCAGGUAAUGGCUGUGCAAUAUUUUAUGUGUUUUGGCAAGUCAGUUCAGUCGGGAGCACAUUCUUGCAGUGUACCGGUGGCAUUAUCAGCUUCAUGUUUGAGAAACCGAGCAUUGCCAGUGUCGAGAGUUGUUUUUGGGGGAUGCAGAUCAGUGUAUGCGUUUGCGGGAUCGCGUUCGUGAUAUUAACAUAUUCUGUUAAAUUACUAUAUGUAAAGUCAACUGUGGAACCCUCGGGCCAAGGGCCGCAUAGUCGUCCGGUGGGUUCAAGACUGCGGACACGUAAGUACCAACACGGUGACGUAUAACUCAGCCACAAAUGGUUCCUCUGUUCUCAUAUUGCCGCGCGCAUUGUCCUUGAAGUCGCUGUUAGUUGUAUCAGUACCUUUUAAGUCAGCCCAUAUGCUUUGUUGUAAUGGCCUUCGUAAUAAGCACACAUGUAAUAUGAGAUUGUGGCACUUGGUUCUUAGUUAUCUGAUCUCGGUACUCCCGUGUGUUAAACAAUAAAGUAUGUGUGUUUGAUGUGAGACCAUUGUCUGAGAGUGCUUAAAGAUCGGAGUAUUGGCGAAUGGUGCUACACGAGUGAUAUGUUUACAGUUAAUGUGUGUUGUCUCAAAGUUAUUUAGAAUGUAAAGUUGUGGGAACUAACGGUGUGGUUUUCGUUGGCAUCGUUUUGCGAUUGGAAACCUUUUGCAACAGUAUUUCGGUGGUUUAAAUACUUGAAGGGGUGGUGCUGGGAUCAGCUGCGGCUGAGAAUUGCGUAGUGGGAAGACCCUGACCUGAGCCUGAUCCCACUAACCCACCACAACAGUUCCACUCCAGUGAAAGGUUGUUGACCUUGGUCUGUUGCUAUACAUUGGGGAAGUAUUUCUCCGUGCUCGGCAGCGUCUUGGUGCGGUCGUCGCGUGCGGCUUUGCAGUGUAGUUUCAAAGCUAAUCCAGUUAGAUGCCAAGGAUUUAAAUAUAACUUCAUGUUACCGGACUUAUUGCCCCCGGCGGCGUCCGCGCCCGUAACAUUUUGUGAGCUGUCAAUUUGUUGCAUUUUGACCCCGAAUCCUGACGUCCUGGCGUUGCCUGCCUGAAUUGCCAAGCCCGAGGUGCCCAGAUGCCGGGUUUUCGGCCGUCCGGCUCGAUCCUGAGGGACGAUCCCAGUGAGAGGUGGAGCGACAGACAGUGAGCCGCGCCGGGGAUGUGAUGGAAUUAAUAAAUAUCUGCUUCGGGCCCUUUGAUCAUGUACUUGGAUACCGUUGGCUCGUGUUUUGUAUCGCAUAGGCAUAAACUUCAGCCUCGGCUUUCGGUUCAUUUGCAUUUAUUUUAUAAAUAUUUGAGGGCAUUUCGCUGGAUGAGACAUGGUGACAUUUUCCCAGUCCUGGGUUGGCGUAAAUAAUGAUGUUCGUAAUCCAGAUGUAAGUGAUACAUACUAAGCAGGCAUAUAUAUUUCGGACAGAUUUAGCCGCCAUGAUAGAAAUUUGAGCACAGGGUUUAUUUGUAGCACUUUGAAGGGCAGUUACCAGUGACCCGCGGUACACUGGCACCAGCUUAGGUUUGACGCUUUUUACCAUGUGGCACCUGAAGUAGCUACCGUUUCUCGCAUUGGAAGUCUAACUUAAAAGAAUCGGCGAAGUGGUCACAAAAGCAGCUUGGUUACCAUUCUUAAGUCUGGUGACAAGAGCGCAGCUUAAGUGGCAGACUAUUGCAUCUAUACUCCGCACCUCUACAGUUCAUGGUAUCAAUUCUUCCGGAUGCGUAAUGACUUAACACUGUGUCUGAAGGUUCUCGUAGUUUCGUGUUGGUUCUCGGUCGUGACCAUUUCCGUGCUGUUGUGGCGCGAGACAGCGGGCUGGCCCCCUGGCGGGGACCCGUGCCGCCGUUUGUCAGGGCCGGUGUGUGAUGGCUCCCGGGCGCCGCGGUCAGGAUUAGCCAGCCGACUGAUGGGGCGGGUGGUCGGCGUGUCGGCCCCCGCCGCCCGCGCCACAGUCAGGGGCAGGGCCACAGUCAGCAGCGAGCGUGCCGACAUGCAUGUCUGGCUGUGUUUGUUCGCCGUGUCGGUGGUGUCGGGCCGUCGCUGAGCGCUGGUCGGCCCCGCCCUGGACUCUGUUGGAGACGGCGUUCGCUCUGU